CCUACGGGAGGCAGCAGUGAGGAAUAUUGGUCAAUGGGCGCGAGCCUGAACCAGCCAAGUAGCGUGAAGGAUGACUGCCCUACGGGUUGUACACUUCUUUUAUAAAGGAAUAAAGUGAGGCACGUGUGCCUUUUUGUAUUUACUUUAUGAAUAAGGAUCGGCUAACUCCGUGCCAGCAGCCGGGGUAAUACGGAGGAUCCUAGCGUUAUCCGGAUUUAUUGGGUUGAAAGGGAGCGUAGAUGGGUUGUUAAGUCAGUUGUGAAAGUGUGGGGCUCAACCGUAAAAUUGCAAUUGAUAAUGGCAGUCGUGAGUACAGUUGAGGUAGGCGGAAUUCGUGGUGUAGCGGUGAAAUGCUUAGAUAUCACGAAGAACUCCGAUUGCGAAGGCAGCUUACUAAACUGCCACUGACAUUGAUGCUCGAAAGUGUGGGUAUCAAACAGGAUUAGAUACCCGAGUAGUC
rnacentral:rRNA from 1 species